GAUGAACGCUGGCGGCGUGCCUAAUACAUGCAAGUCGAGCGAACAGACGAGGAGCUUGCUCCUCUGACGUUAGCGGCGGACGGGUGAGUAACACGUGGAUAACCUACCUAUAAGACUGGGAUAACUUCGGGAAACCGGAGCUAAUACCGGAUAAUAUAUUGAACCGCAUGGUUCAAUAGUGAAAGACGGUUUUGCUGUCACUUAUAGAUGGAUCCGCGCCGCAUUAGCUAGUUGUUAAGGUAACGGCUUACCAAGGCAACGAUGCGUAGCCGACCUGAGAGGGUGAUCGGCCACACUGGAACUGAGACACGGUCCAGACUCCUACGGGAGGCAGCAGUAGGGAAUCUUCCGCAAUGGGCGAAAGCCUGACGGAGCAACGCCGAGUGAGUGAUGAAGGUCUUCGGAUCGUAAAACUCUGUUAUUAGGGAAGAACAAAUGUGUAAGUAACUAUGCACGUCUUGACGGUACCUAAUCAGAAAGCCACGGCUAACUACGUG
rnacentral:rRNA from 1 species